rnacentral:lncRNA from 1 species
AAGGCAGGAGCUGCAUGUUGCAGCCUUGCUUGGCUCCAUCCCCUCCACGCAGUAACUCAGGUUGUUAAACGCCUGGCCAGAGCUCACCAUCUGCUUCCAGUCUUCUAGGAAUACCUCUGCGUAAUUCAAUCAAAAAGGAGAAGAUCCUUGUUUCACUGAAUCGCUGAUCGAUAUGAGUCUGAGGAAUCAAUACAGAUGUGGAUGACGGUGCUGUUUGCUGUUCAGAGACUGCAGAGCUGGGAAAAAGCAAGACACCAUCGAUCCCAAAGAGCCAGACGCCGUGGGGAUGUGCCACCACCUUAAGCAAAGUGCUGGUUUGCAAGCUCCUCUUGCUGC